UCAAUACACUCCUAAGGAUAGAGAAGUAUACCAUUCAUGUCUACUUAGACAACUAUAAUGUUCACACACUAGUCAUGAGACCACAAUUAAGAUAACCAAGGUCCUAGGCUAAGGGUCAAAUAUCAUACCUUACAAAUUCAUGGCCUAUAGGAAUUAAUAACUCCCAAGUUUACCAUUUAAUCAACUAUCGUCUGAAUUCCCCGCCCAAUCUCGCAAGAUAUCAAUGAUUACAUUACAAACAAGCU
rnacentral:lncRNA from 1 species